CAAAAAAAUUGAACUUGGUUCCAGGUGGAAAACUGUAGGGUCAACAGGCAGAAGAAGAAAAAAGAGUGUGAAAGAUACAUUUAUGUAUGUUCCAAUCUUAAAAAACAUCAAAAGACUUUGUCAAGACAAGCAUACUCUAUCUGAGUUUCAGUCAUCACAUAGAGGUGAUGACAAUUAUUUGAGAGACUUCUGUGAUGGAACUGUUUAUAAAAAAGCCCAGUUAUCUCAUCAACAGUUGGAGGAUUGCAAAUUAUCCUAUAUUAUGAUGAACUAGAAGUUUGCAACCCAUUAAGUUCUAGGAAAACUGUGCAUAAGUUAGGUUUAUUUUAUUACAGUUUUGGAAAUUACUCAAAUCGGAGCUUACUUCGAAACAUUCACCUUGCUGCAAUAGCCACAUCAGAAAUCAUUGCACUUUAUAAAGUUACUACAAUUUUGCAGUACAUUGUAGAUGACAUUAAAAAGCUGGAAUCUGGGCAUGAAAUCAUGUUAAGUAAUGGUAAUACCAUCUCCAUUUACGGAUCAAUUGCAGCAAUUGCUGCUGACAAUCCUGCAUCAUGUUCCAUGGGAGGUUUUAAGGAAAGUGCAGCAGCUUACAGUGGAUGCAGACAUUGUAUGGCCACUGAUUUUGCAUUGAAGUUUAAUGAAAAGGAUUUAAACCUUCGUAACAAGAGGUAGCAUCUCCUUCAUUGUCAGGAGCUUGAUACUAGUAUUGAGGCUUCAAAGAAGUAUGGAAUCAAUCGAUACAGUCCUCUUCUUGAACUCAAGCACUUUGACAUAUGUGGAGGACUCGUUCCAGACAUUAUGCAUGAUGUUUUAGAAGGUGUUUUAUGUCUUGAAUUGAAGUUACUAUUGAAGCACUGUAUCAAUGAAAACUAUUUAGGCAUGCAAAAUUUAAGUGACAUGAUUUCUGAUUUUGAGUAUGGAUACAUGGAAGCUACUAACCGCCCAUCUUGUCAAUUUUUACCAGACUGUUAGGUCGGAUUCCCAAAAAAAACUUGGACAAUCUGCAUCCCAGUUAUGGCUUUUAGCUCGACUAAUACCAAUAUUAAUCAGACACUUGAUUCCAGAGAAUGAAUUAAAUUGGGAAAAUUUCUUAAUUCUUCUCAAAAUUACGGAUUAUCUGUUUUCUCCAGUCAUUACAAUUGACGAAUGUUCAUACUUACAGGAUCUCAUUUCUGAGCAUCACAGUAACUUUAUGACUUUAUAUCCACAGCAGUCUGUCACACCUAAGAUGCACUAUAUGGUGCACAUGCCUAGAUUGAUUAAGUGUUAUGGUCCAUUGUCACAAUUAUGGACAAUGAGAUUUGAAGCUAAACAUCAAUAUUUUAAAAAAUUAACACAGCGUACAUUGAAUUACAUAAACUUGCCAAAGACUCUCAGUGAGAGACAUCAGUUUAUACAAAUUUAUUACCUGUUGUCACCACUUCCAGCCUUUGAAAUUGGUCCAGUUCUUAGCUCUUAAAUAUGUGAAGAUGAGAUUCAUGAAUUAGGAAUUGACAGUAGAAGGGCUCAUGUGGUUAAGUGGAUCAAGUUUGGACACAUUGAAAUAAGGCAGCAUCAAUGUGCAGUAUUGUAUCAUCUGUCUGAUUUUCCUCAUUUUAUUAAAAGUCUCAUUUCUAAUUCCUGAACUUUUGCCCUGUACUUCUUUGCCAUUGGACUUCCCCUGUUGGCCAAAUUUCAUCAAAAUUGAAAAUUAGGCUGAGGCUCAUAGGCUUAGGCCAGAUGGCUGAGGCUAGCUGAGGUAACUUGUGAUUAUGAUGACGACGAUGUUCUUGAUCCAUUGGACGAGACACCUUGAUAUAUAGGCCAUAUGAAAUGAUUGCUACUGCCAUUGCUGAUUUACAGAAGUAGAAUAUGACUACAUAUGGAAACAGGCCAAUGCCUAUGGGUACAUCCUCUUUUCGUGCACGUUGUGGGUUUACCUAAUUACGACAUACGCAGUAUAAUACUGGAGCUGAUACUACAAGACAUAUCUAACUUUAGAGUUCUACCUGAUAGACUGGGACAGGGUGUGGUUAAUGAGCUGGCAUUAUCUCACUAGAGAGACUGCGGAGAAGGGCAACCAAAUAUAUCUUGUUUUACUUUCAGAUGGACACAAGUCUAGGCUCAAAACUCUUGAGCUCCUUCCCGGCAUGUACUAUCUGGAAUGUGCCAAAAAUAGUCAUCUUCUUUGUGCAGUUAAACCAUCGUGAUCUGUGUUUCAAUGUGUAUGACUAAUUCUCCUUUAUAUCCUCUUCUAAAUGUACCUGUUGCUCAAUGUGCAACUCUACCUUAUCACAGACUCAAGCUCGACAUACUUUCUUCCACCGUCUCCCCAGACUAUGGAACUCCCUACCCCCAGUAGACUUAACAAUGUCAAUCAAAAAAUGUACCUCACAGAAGGACUAAGAUGAUGGGUCUGAUAUGCCCUGGAAUCCAGUACACUCUCUUUGGAAUCCAACUAAAAUGUGACGGAAUCUAAGACUCGGAAUCCAAGAUUUAAGGAUUUUUAGUGGUAUACUACUUGGAAUCCAGCAACUGCUUGGAAUCCAGCAACUGAAUUCAGGAAUCCAGACACCCCAGUGUCUGACCCCUUGGACUAAGAUAUAGAAAAUCACUUUUCUGUAUUUUUGUGUCAUUUAUUUGUUUAUCUUGUUAUUUUUAAUUAUUUGGCAGACAUUUAAUCAACUCAUUUAAGAUGUGUUUUACAAAUGCUCUAUUCUCUUUCAAUCCUCCCAGUCCUAACUGCUUUCACUAUUCGAUAACUCAUAAAUUUUUCAAGUAUUUCACUUCUGUUAAUUAGCUAUUUGAUUGUUUUUUUGUCACUGAGA
rnacentral:lncRNA from 1 species